UACGGUAGGGACCAAGCGUUGUCCGGAAUCAUUGGGCGUAAAGAGCGUGUAGGCGGCCUGUUAAGUCUUGCGUGAAAUCUCGGGGCUCAACCCCGAGCGGUCGUGAGAAACUGGCAGGCUAGAGUGCGGGAGAGGAGAGUGGAAUUCCUGGUGUAGCGGUGAAAUGCGCAGAUAUCAGGAAGAACACCCGUGGCGAAGGCGGCUUCCUGGACCGACACUGACGCUGAGGCGCGAAAGCUAGGGGAGCAAACGGG
rnacentral:rRNA from 1 species